GAAAUGCGAUAAGUAAUGUGAAUUGCAGAUUUCAGUGAAUCAUCGAAUCUUUGAACGCAAGUGGCGCUCCGUGGCAUGCCGCGGAGAAUGCCUGUUCGAGCAUCGUCAUACCAUCAACAUCUCACAAAAACCUUUGCUGUGUUUCUGUGCGAUCGUUGGCCGAUGUCCGUUGGAGCCACUCGCUGGCACCAUCGGUGAUCAAAGACAUUCCCUGGUGCUCCGCGUGCCUUUCACUGCGCUUCUCGAUUCUGUGGUAGGUGUCUUGCACACAUGCUUCGGUAUCGGUUGCGCGCCAAGGUGGAAGGGUGGCGGAGGUCUCACCGCUGGGUCUCACACAGCGUCGCGCUGCGGCUCUCUGGGCUGCGGUUUGCGACGAAUUGCCAAAUACACACUCGAUCUCGAAUCAGGUAAGGCUACCCGCUGAAUUUAA
rnacentral:misc_RNA from 1 species